UUGACCUCGGAUCAGGUAGGGAUACCCGCUGAACUUAAGCAUAUCAAUGGGCGGA
rnacentral:rRNA from 1 species